rnacentral:rRNA from 1 species
CCUACGGGCGGCAGCAGUAGGGAAUCUUCCACAAUGGGCGAAAGCCUGAUGGAGCAACGCCGCGUGGGUGAAGAAGGUCUUCGGAUCGUAAAACCCUGUUGUUAGAGAAGAAAGUGCGUGAGAGUAACUGUUCACGUUUCGACGGUAUCUAACCAGAAAGCCACGGCUAACUACGUGCCAGCAGCCGCGGUAAUACGUAGGUGGCAAGCGUUAUCCGGAUUUAUUGGGCGUAAAGGGAACGCAGGCGGUCUUUUAAGUCUGAUGUGAAAGCCUUCGGCUUAACCGGAGUAGUGCAUUGGAAACUGGGAGACUUGAGUGCAGAAGAGGAGAGUGGAACUGCAUGUGUAGCGGUGAAAUGCGUAGAUAUAUGGAAGAACACCAGUGGCGAAAGCGGCUCUCUGGACUGUAACUGACGUUGAGGCUCGAAAGCGUGGGGAGCAAACAGGAUUAGAUACCCGUGUAGUC